rnacentral:rRNA from 1 species
AAGCGUAAUAGCUCACUGGUCGAGUCGGCCUGCGCGGAAGAUGUAACGGGGCUAAGCUAUACACCGAAGCUGCGGCUACGUACCUUAGGGUAUGUGGGGUAGGGGAGCGUUCUGUAAGCCGUUGAAGGUGGUCUGUAAGGGCUGCUGGAGGUAUCAGAAGUGCGAAUGCUGACAUGAGUAACGAUAAAGGGAGUGAAAAACUCCCUCGCCGGAAGACCAAGGGUUCCUGUCCAACGUUAAUCGGGGCAGGGUAAGUCGACUCCUAAGGCGAGGCCGAAAGGCGUAGUCGAUGGGAAACGGGUUAAUAUUCCCGUACUUCUUACAAUUGCGAUGGGGGGACGGAGAAGGCUAGGUGGGCCUGGCGACGGUUGUCCAGGUUCAAGUAUGUAGGCGGAAAGUUUAGGUAAAUCCGGACUUUCUUAACGCUGAGAUACGAUGUCGAGCUACUACGGUAGUGAAGUCAUUGAUGCCAUGCUUCCAGGAAAAGCCUCUAAGCUUCAGAUUGUAAGGAAUCGUACCCCAAACCGACACAGGUGGUCGGGUAGAGAAUACCAAGGCGCUUGAGAGAACUCGGGUGAAGGAACUAGGCAAAAUGGUACCGUAACUUCGGGAGAAGGUACGCUCUUAUCAGUGAAGUCCCUUGCGGAUGGAGCAGACGAGAGUCGCAGAUACCAGGUGGCUGCAACUGUUUAUUAAAAACACAGCACUGUGCAAAAUCGUAAGAUGACGUAUACGGUGUGACGCCUGCCCGGUGCCGGAAGGUUAAUUGAUGGGGUUAGACUUCGGUCGAAGCUCUUGAUCGAAGCCCCGGUAAACGGCGGCCGUAACUAUAACGGUCCUAAGGUAGCGAAAUUCCUUGUCGGGUAAGUUCCGACCUGCACGAAUGGCGUAAUGAUGGCCACGCUGUCUCCACCCGAGACUCAGUGAAAUUGAAAUCGCUGUUAAGAUGCAGUGUACCCGCGGCUAGACGGAAAGACCCCGUGAACCUUUACUAUAGCUUCACAGUGGACUUUGACAUUACUUGUGUAGGAUAGCUGGGAGGCUUUGAAGCGUGAUCGCUAGAUUGCGUGGAGCCAAUCUUGAAAUACCAGCCUGGUAAUGUUGAGGUUCUAACUCAGGUCCCUUAUCGGGAUCGAGGACACUGUGUGGUGGGUAGUUUGACUGGGGCGGUCUCCUCCCAAAGAGUAACGGAGGAGCACGAAGGUUGGCUAAGUACGGUCGGACAUCGUACGGUUAGUGCAAUGGCAUAAGCCAGCUUAACUGCGAGACAGACACGUCGAGCAGGUACGAAAGUAGGUCAUAGUGAUCCGGUGGUUCUGUAUGGAAGGGCCAUCGCUCAACGGAUAAAAGGUACU